rnacentral:misc_RNA from 1 species
AACAUCGCGCACCUGCGGGAACCUGCGGAAGGAUCAUUAAUGAUUGGUGGCUGUUGCUGACUAGUGUUUCUAGUAUGUGCACGCUACACCUUCAAUCCCACUUACACCUGUGCACCUUCUGUAAUAGAUCUAUGUGGAUACGGAGAUGUGAAAGUUUGCGCUCUCCUACUCUGUUGAAGCAGUCUACUACGUUUUUUUACACACACACACACAAUAGUCAUUGAAUGUAUUUUUUAUUCU